GGGAGCAAUCCCUAGUGGCGAACGGCGGAGUAAGACAUGAACAACGUGCCCUGAAGUCCGGGACAAACGCAGAAAUGCCAUAAAUACCGGAUGUGGCCCCGACCUGGCAUCAGGAUGGGAUUAAACGGUUUUUCGCUUCAGGAGCGGUUCAUGGCCUAUCAGGUAGUUGGUGGGGUAAUGGCCUACCAAGCCGACGACAGGUAGCGGGUCUGAGAGGAUGAUCCGCCCGAGUGGGACUGAGACACGGCCCACACACCUACGGGUGGCAGCAGUUGGGAAUCUUGCACAAUGGGGGAAACCCUGAUGCAGCGACGCCGCGUGGAGGAUGACGGAUCUAGGUCUGUAAACUCCUUUUUCAUGGAAAGACUUAGGACGGUACCAUGAGAAUAAGGACCGGCUAACUACGUGCCAGCAGCCGCGGUAAGACGUAGGGUCCAAGCGUUGUCCGGAUUUACUGGGCGUAAAGAGCGCGUAGGCGGCUUGUUAAGUGUGAAGUGAAAUCUCCAGGGCUCAACCCGGAAACUGCUUCGCAUACUGGCAAGCUUGAGGAAUGCAGAGGUUUGUGGAAUUCCUGGUGUAACGGUGAAAUGUGUUGAUAUCAGGAGGAACACCCAUGGCGAAGGCAGCAAACUGGGCAUUAUCUGACGCUGAGGCGCGAAAGCGUGGGUAGCAAACAGGAUUAGAUACCCUGGUAGUCCACGCCCUAAACGAUGGAUACUAGGCGUAAGAGGUAUCGACCCCUCUUGUGCCGCAGCUAACGCAUUAAGUAUCCCGCCUGGGGAGUACGGCC
rnacentral:rRNA from 1 species